rnacentral:rRNA from 1 species
UGGGGAAUAUUGGUCAAUGGGCGAGAGCCUGAACCAGCCAAGUCGCGUGAAGGAAGACUGCCUUAUGGGUUGUAAACUUCUUUUAUACAGGAAUAAAAAGGCUUACGUGUAGGCCAUUGCAAGUACUGUAUGAAUAAGCAUCGGCUAACUCCGUGCCAGCAGCCGCGGUAAUACGGAGGAUGCGAGCGUUAUCCGGAUUUAUUGGGUUUAAAGGGUGCGCAGGCGGGCUUUUAAGUCAGCGGUGAAAUCUGGACGCUUAACGUCCAAACUGCCGUUGAAACUGGGAGUCUUGAGUAUGGAUGAAGUAGGCGGAAUUCGUUGUGUAGCGGUGACAUGCAUAGAUAUAACGAGGAACUCCGAUUGCGUAGGCAGCUUACUAAGCCAUAACUGACGCUCAUGCACGAAAAGCGUGGGGGAAUCAACAGAUUAGAUACCCCUGGUAGUCCACGCCGUAAAACGAUGAUUACUGUUGUAUGCGAUAAUGAUAGUAUGUGACUAAGCGAAAGCGAUAAGUAAUCCACCUGGGGAGUACNCCGGC